GUAAAAAGCUCAGUAAAUUUGUUGUUUGACAUCUCACUCUGAGUACUGUGUGUUUCAUCUGCCUUCACUCUCACAAUUAUUAUCAACUUGCUGGCUAUAAAAGGCAGGGGCUACAAACUCAGUGAGCCAAAUGCAGUGCUUGCUUCCUAUCUGUGGUCCAUUGCAUAGCAGUGUGCUUGGGUGCUGCGUAAGACAAUUCCCCCCAACGCCUCCAAAAAAUAGGACAUGGUCCACUGCAGGAGUUCAUAAUCUAGGAGUCCAGAGAGUCCAGGCUCAUCAUCCCUUCAGAAGAAAGAAUCUUCAGGCCUCUGCUCUUGUGAGAGUAAUUUCUCUUAACACCGACAGUGCAGCAAUACAACUACCACCACCUUUCAAUUAUUGAGAGGCAAUCAUCUAAAGCAUUUGGCAAGUGAUCCACUUACGGAGCCAAGCUAAGGGAGCUGAAGAGAAGAGGCCGCCGCCCCAACCCAGCUACUCCAUGUGCUACUUUCUCUCGCAACUUUGAGCAAGAAUGUUAGAUCUUUUGCUGGGGGCCUUCGGAAGCCGUGAGGGAGCAUAUCCUGACACCCACAUAGAAGACCUGGUACCUAUGUUUCCACAUCACAAAGCAGGCCAACAAGCACACAAGGCCGCAGACCAAAUUAAGAAUCAUCUGGAUGAGUAAGAACAGUUUGAAAGUGCCAGUGACGCUGGUACAGUCCGUCACAUCCCGGUAAACAAAGGUCCUGCUGAGCGGCUCCGAGGAGGGCAGUUUGCACUGGCAAGAGUCGAGUGUGGUCUCACAGGUAAACUGUGUGAGCUGCGAAUAGUGGUGGGCGGCAAAGGCCACGGCCAGCACACAGACCGUCAGGCCCAGGGCACUCAGCAGAAAGUAUAACAGCUGCAAGAAAGCAGAAGAAAACCUUUCUGGUUACAAAGAACAUUGGAUGAUGAUUUGCAAAGCGAAUUCAUCAAAACUGUUCUUUUUCUUCCCUCCCAGAAAUUUUCUGAUGGAAAGGCUGUCUCUUCUUAGAAACACAACACCCAAGACAUGGAAAUAGCUCCAUGUUUAUUUAUUAGUGGGUAGUUCUUAAACCCUGAUCACAUUUUCACUUGCCAUCCAGAUGUUGGGCCCUUUUCAAGAGUUGUGACAACCAUAUUAGCUGGACUGUGGAAUGUUUUUGUCUAGAUAUUGCCAGCAGUUUAGAUGAAUCCCAAACAAGCUAGCCAUCCCUGGAUGACAUGUUGUGCUUAUUUUGAACUCAAGAACUUCUGAUAUUAAGACUGAAACAAGACUAGGAAGUAAAGAACAGGUUUUUGUAAUGCAAACACUGUGUGGGCCAAAAUUAGCAAUGAUGGGUCAACUAAUAGCAUAAGUUAAUUUUUUUAAAAGACUACAUUCAAUGUAGUGAUUGCCAAACUGUAUCCAUAAACAUGAGAAUCCCCAGUAGGAGGUUGCUGGGAGAAAAUAAAUUAUGGCUCCAGAAGUCAAGUGACUCAACGUCAGCUUCAUCGCCUGUGAAACUUACCCCAAGCCCAACAACGACCAUGUGAUUCCUGAGCCUGAAAAAACUCUAAAUGGUUCCUCAGUCACCAAGGUUUUGAACACUGUUGGCCUCCAGAUUAGCUUUGGGAUUGAAAAAGUCUGGUUAAAGUUCUCGCUCUGCUGCUACAGGGCUGUGGGAACUCUGAACAAUUUAGGGAUUUAGCUUACACCUAAAAUAUUCUGAGCAAAACUUGUGGGUGUUCACUGACAUGGCCACAAUAAAAUCUAUGGAACAAGAAAUAUUUUUGUGAUUGAACUCACCUACUAGAAAUGUUAAUCUUAAUGGUCCACCUGCUGAGACUCUAGAGCUGCUUGACAGGGUUGUCUGGGGAAUACAACCUUACCCUGUCAAAUGCCUUUCAAUGUUUUUCUUCUCCUUCCUUACCCCCGUUUCAUCGUGUACCUGCAAUGGGACUCUAUUUCUGUAAAAGCAAGAUAAAGGAACACAAAAUGUACUCUUUCCCUAAUUGGAUAAAGUGAGAAAGGAUAUUAGAAAACCACCCAAUGGAACUGAUAAAAAUGAGUUGGAACUUGUGACCAGCAGCUGGAUGAGAGGAGUGUGAAUCCCCCAAAUCUUAUGGAUAUAGUGUGCUUUCUUUGAUGUUCCUGCCAAAGUGAGGCUGGAAAGCUAGGAAGAUCUGUAAGACGUGUGCCAGCACAAAGUGACUACAAUUCAAAAGUUCCAAAAACCUUGCUUGAAACAAUUGCAAAUAGCUCAUCAUUUUAAACCAGUGAACCCAAGGCUGAGUGUUUCAUCAAUUUACAGAAAACCAAGAAGAGAAAUCUGACAGCUAUCCCAGUGUAUGACUUACCAUGGAGAUCUUCAAAUAGAAUCACUUUGGUUUGGGUCUCAUUUUCAUAUUAUAACACAAAUUUGUGUAUGUGGGUUAAGAUUCAUAUUUGAUAGGAACUGCUGGGAAUUCUUGCAGUUAUAUCCUCAAAAGACAAAAUAAGCAUAACCAACAGAAUUGUGAAGCAAUAAAGUUGAUUAUGGAUGAAAACUGGGCUGAACAGUCAUAGGACAUGACUUGUUCCUUUGACCUAAAAUGUGCUUUUCUUUCCUUAUCUACCCAGUGUAAUGGUACUACUCUUUCAACCAUCUUGAAUUCACUCACACUUAUUCGUCAAAUCCUGCUCAGCUAUUCCCACUACCCACAAAGUGUACCUUUUUCGUAUUCCUUACUUUUUAUACAUUAGCUCAUUUUCCCCCAAACAAUGCAAUAAAGUAAAAAAUAUUACUCUAUUUUAUAGAAACUUGCAGCUCAGAAAGGAUAAGAAACUUGCAAGUUGAUCCAAAAUAAAUUUCUAAAAAGCAUCAAAAGGUUUCAUUUCUGCAUAAUAUUAAGGACUAAAUUAUAGGAAAACUCUCUCCCUAUAAAACACUGUAAAAUGCUGGAUAAAACGUAGCAUCCCUUAUAAAAUGAAAAAACAAUUAGCCCACUAGCACUGGAAGUCAUCAAGAAAAUUGUUCUGUCUCAACAGAUGCAGGGGGGCAGUUUGAGGUUUUUCUACUACUUUCCUAGUCCUGGAACCUAUUAAGAUGAGAAAGUAACAUGAAAGUGAUCCUGAAAAAAUAAACCAAAACCUGGCUAUUUCAAUAAAUAAAUUGUAAGGGGGAGAGAGACAGAGACAGAGAGAGAGAGACACAGAGAGAGAGAAUAGAAAGGAGAGACAAAGGGUAAAUUUUUGAGUAAAGGAAAUGUUAGAAAUAUAUGAGUCAACUGCAGUGUAUAGAUCUUAUUGAGAUCCUGAUUUUGACAAAUCUAGGAGGAACUAUUAAUGAGUUAAUCAUGGAUAUUUAAACAGUGGUUUGAUUCUAUUAAGAAAUUAACUUGUUAGGUGUAUUAUUAGUAUAUUGAUUAUUUUUUAGUCUUCAUCUUUCGACUUACAUAGCAAAAUAUUUAUAAAUAAAAUGAUAUAAAGUCUGGGAUUUAGUGCAAAAUAAUCCACUGUGUAGUGUGUGUAGUGUGUGGGUGUGGAGGAAAUAUAGGAGCAUACAGAUAAGACAAGAUUGAGCAUGAGUUGAUAGUUAUCAAGGCUCGGUGAUGAGAAUAUAGAGGUUCAUUAUACAAUUGUAUCUACUCUUGUGUAUGCUUGAAAUUUUUCAUAAUAAGUAAGUUAAGGAAACAAAGUGGUUCUAGGCCUGUAACAUCACUGGGACAUAUGGCAAGACAAACCCAUCUGGAAGGGUUGUACUCUCAAAUAGGCUAUAUCAAGUUAUCAUACAUAAAGCCUCUUGGAAGAUGAACUCACAAACCAAAAUUAGCAAACACUUGAAGAAUUAAUUAUUAGUGAAGGCUAGCUCUUACAUGCAUGUACACACACACACACACACACACACACACACACACACACACACACGCUCUAAGAAUCAGAGCUAUAAGAAUUCCAAAUAAUGGAAGUAAUGAGCAGAGCCUAUAAAAAGUACAUUCAAAACAAACACAUGAAGGAAGGAACUGAAAACAUAAAGAACAGGACAGUUUUUAAAGCACCAGGGAUAUGUGAAAAUAACAUCAGUAACAACAUCAGUGAGUUCUAGAAUGAAAAAUUAAAAUUGCUGGCAGUAAAAACUCAAAGGACAAGUAAAAGGCAGAUUAAACCUAAAUGAAGAAGGGAAAAGUGAACCAGAAAAUCUGAGAAAAUAACCCAAGAUACAGCACAGAGAGAUAAAGAGAGAUGAAACAUACUAGACAGGAUAAGAAAUAUGGAGGGAGAAUAAGAAGAUUCUAAAUAUACAUCUGACAGCAAUUCCAGGCAAAGGGAACAAACUUAAUUUUAAAAUUGAGUAUAGAACCCUAAACCCCAAAAUGAGAGAAUCCACAUUUUUCCCAAGCAUUCAAGAACUGUUUAUGAAGAUUGGUCACAAAAUAAGUCUAAUCAAAUAUCAAAUAAUUGAUAUGAAAAACACAUGAACUGAGCACAAAGCAACUAAAGUGAACUCAAUAAUCAAAAGACCAGAUAAAAGACAUUAGAGAAGACUCAAAUAAAUGGUGAGAUCAUCUUUGGUCAUGUAUAGAAAGUACAAAUCCCAGGAAAUUACCAAAAGUAUUUUUCUUGGAACUUGAAAAGCCUAUUCUAAAGUGUAUAUGCAAGAGAAAAUGGCUAAGAUUCACUGAGAAAAUUUUGAAGAAGAAUAAAAUGAAGGAGGGUGGGUUGGGGGUGGGCUGCUUAUCCAUCAUCUUUAUAACAAGAUGCAUUAUAGCAUCAUUUUAAUUUAGACAAUGGUAUUGGCAUAGUGAUAGCCAAAUAAAACAAUAGAACUAAGGAAAAUCACAAAGCAAAUCUAAUAUGGAAACUUGACAGAUGAUAAAUGGGUGUAACAGAUCACUAUGAAAGGGACCGAUUAUUUAUUAAACGGUGCUAAAACAAUUAUCAAUCCAUGUGAGAAAAAAUGUAUGGACCCUUCACAUCAUUGCAAAAAGAAACCACUUAUAAUAAAGAUAUGAAUACCCAAAAGCAAACCUUUAACAUUUUUAGAAAAUGGUAUAGAAAAAUAUUUUUAUGGCCUUGGAGUAGGGAAAAAUUUCUUUAAACUACAUCAAAUCCAUAAAAAAAAGAACUGAUAAAUAUAAAUAUAUGAAGAUUAAAUCUUUUUUCAUAACAAAACACCAUAAAUAAAAGAUAUGAUACCAACCAGAAAAAGAUAUUUGUAGUACCUAAAACCAUAAAGAUUAAGUAACAAAAGUAACAAAUCCUAUAAAUAAAUAAGAAACGAACAACCCAUAGAAAAUAUUUUUUGAAUAAAUAAAUGAUAGAACACAAAAUAAAAUGGCCAAUCAACAUAAAAUAUGUUCAAUUCCAGUAGCAACACCAAAAUGCAAAUUAAAACAAGAUACCAUUGCACACAAAUAAGAUAGGUAAAGAACUCUGAUUUACCACUGGUGGAGGUGAGGUGUAAGUUAGUCCAAUUUGGAUUUGUGGUAGUGACUUGGCAAUAGCUAGUAAUUUGACGAUGUCUAUAUCUUAUGACCCAACAAUUUGACUUCUAGGAAUAUGCCUUAACAAGACUUUAUGUGCACAGGGAGUUAUAGACAAGAAUAUCCACUGUAACACCGUAAAUGCAAAAUAAAAAAUCAUUUUUGAAAACAAAUUUUCUUCAACAAGAGAAUGAAUUAACUGUUAUAUAUCCCCCCCCCCCACCACCACCACUUUCUUUUGAGACAGGGUCUUGCUCUGUUGCCCAGGCUGAAGUGCGGUGGUGCGAUCAUGGCUCACCACUGUCUCAACCUCCCAGGUUCAAAUGAUCCUCCCACCUCAGCCUCCUGAGUAGCUGGAACAACAGGCAUCUGCCACCACACCCAGCUAAUUUCUCUACAAAAAGUAUUUUUUGUAGAGACGGGGUUUUGCCAUGUUGCCCAGGCUUGAACUCCUAGGCUCAAGCAAUCCUCCCGCCUUGGCCUCCCAAAGUGCUGGGAUUACAGGUGUGAGCCACUGUACCUGGCCAAUGUUGUAUAUUCCUAACAGUGAAAUUCAGUAUAGCAAACAUGAAUGAAUGAUAUCUGUGUACUAUUAUAAAUAAAUCUCAAAAACGAUGUUGAGCAGAAAUGAUAUGAUACCAUCUGUAUAAAAAUUAAAAUAUGACAUGUUGGUUAUGGAUAUAUACAAAUUUUCAAAGUAUGAAAACAGGCUUAUGCAUAAAAAAUACCAAAUUCAGGAUAGUACAUAUCUCUGGGGAAGAUGGGAGGGGUAGGGGAAUUUGAUUAAGAAAUGAAACAUGGGAGACUUCAAUACAAUGUAAUGUUUCCUUUCUUAAAAAAUAAUAAAAAAGCAAUUAUUACAAAAUACUAAAAUUUAGCAAAGCUAGGAAUGGAUAAGUGGGCAUUUUUUUCUAUGUUAUUAUGCAUUAUUUUCUAUGUUAUUAUGCAAUUGAAAUGUUUAUAAUUUUAAAAAGCAUAGAAUUGCACAGAAUUACUGACAUUUGUUCAAAUUCACAUAGAAAUGAAAAUUUAAAAAUCAUUACCAAAUAUUUUUUGGAAAAUGAUUCUACAUUAGUAGAGCCAGAAUUCUACCCUUACUCCAAAGCUGGAGUCAUUCCUCAAAUUUCAGACCCCCUCUCCUUUCUUUUUCUGAUCUUACCCUGAGGGUUCAUCAUGUUCUUCUCUGCGCUAGCACGGUACAUUGUUUAAGGCACCACCUUGGCAUUUUGUUUUUAAAACUAAAUUGCAGUUAGUUGUACCUGUGUUUCCUCACCCAGAGACUAAGCUCUUGGGGGCACCAUACCUGGUAUAUGAAAAUACAGAGGGAGAGUGGCUAGGGUGUGGCUUCUACUCCUAACUAACUCUUGUGAUGACUUACCAAAAACUAAUCACCAAGUUCUAUAAAUACUUAUUCUUGCAAAAUAAUCAAUUUCCAAAGAAUGUAAGAGAAUCAAAGAUUGUGUUCCAGCCUUUCUCAUGAAUCAACAGGAGGGGCAGAAUUGUUACAAACAGUAUUUGUGGGAAGAAAUAAACAACCUAUAGUUUAUUUGUUUCACUUGGGGAUUUUCAAGCCCUCAGAAGAGGGAAAGGAAUCUUGCUGAUGUGGAUUGAGCCUACUCCGGUGGUAUAGUCAUGGGCUGGAUUUCAUUACUUAGCCAUAAUUAAGUCAGUUCUCAAAUUAGGUCCCAUUCUAGAAAUGACUGCAGAGAUAAUUCUAUAUUAAACUCCUGGGUUCAUAUAUGUUGAAUAGUACAAUAAAUAUAAACAUAUUAAAUAGCACAGUGCAUAGAAAUUAUACAGUAAAUCAAUAUAAAUUGAAUUAUGUAACAUUGGAAUGGGAUUGUAAAUGAGAGAACCAUCUUGUUCAACCUUUAAAAAUAUUAUCAAGUGGCUUUUCUAAUUGAGAGUACUUUAUGAAAAACAGUAUGAGGGAACAUAAAGUAAUAUAUAUUAUAAUAUUACUUCUCCUUUGAAAGUGUUUUGUCCUUUUCAACAUGAGGAGGUCAGUGUCCCCAAGCAGCCUGCAGCCUCUCCUACAUUUCCCCCUCGCCUCCCAUGGCAACACGGGUUAGCCAGACACUGAGCUUUUUGUGAUGUGUGUGUGAGGACAGAGAGAAGGGGAGCAAAGCUUCAGGGAGGUCUUGAGGUGGAAAAAUUUGUGACGCACACGAUUUGGUGACUGAAGAAGAAUUCUUUCUUGAGGGUUCUAUAACACAAUAGUUACGGUCACCCUAUGUGCAUUUAAAAAUUCCUAGUUGGUCUCAAGCCCUUAAUGCACACCGAAGCCCUUUAAGAGGCUUCUCAAACUACUUGUUCAUGGAAAGAUUAUGAGACAAAGCCAACCUGUGUGGGUUUGGUCCUUCUGUUUCAGAACCUGACUACCAAAGAGCCUGGGAGAAGUACAUAAACUUAUUGAACAUGUAACUCAUAAACUAAAAGAUUCAAACUCUGUACACAGAAUUCUGUAUGCGGUCAUGAAGAAAUCCCUUCUCAUUUAUGAUCAUACAUUUGCCUUAGGGAGUCCGAGUUUGCCCUCUUCACUGCCUUGGGUGCCCCACUAUCUUCCUGAGGUAGGCACAGUCCUCCUGCAAGUUUCUCCCUGAGAGAAGAGCACCUCCAACCUCCAACAGAAUUGAUGAGGACUGAAAUGCUGUUGCCCUUGUCUUAGAAAAUGCCUCCUUCAUAGCUUUCCUGGCAUAGCUAAAUGUGAGAUAGGGCUAAGCCUGUGAGAUCAGGCUAAUGGCCUGAUAUGCAUGCCACACCUGAUACUUUAGAAGGAAGCCAGCCAAGGAAGUGUUUUUUCCCCCACUUAGUAAUAAAGCUAAAAUUCUCUCGCUCGUCAAAGUCUAGUUAACACAUUAGCAGCCCCCUCCCCCUUUUCUGGUCUCCUGUCAUUAUCUUCCAUACAAGAGAGAGGGCUUGAUAAUAACAUAUCUUAAAGGGGUUUUUAAUUGCUCCUUACAGUGAAUGCUGAAUCUAACGCUUUAAAAACAACUGAGUAGAAUGCCACUUAAAAGCGCUUCCUCCAGGUUUCUCACCACCUCUCUCAGUACCACGGCACUCCCAGCCAGGGGAGAGUUGCUCAUUUCUGCAAAGAUUAGAAGCAGGUCCAACAGAACUUCUUCAGCAGAAUCUGAGAAUGCUCAUUUGUGAACAAACUGUCUGCUUUCCAACGUCCCGUCACUUACUGGACUUUUGCCAGCCCCAGGAAACACCAUAAUGAAACACUCACAUUUAUGAAAUUCACAAUUAGGGACCGUGGCUCUAGCAACAUUAGCUCAGAGAGCAUCAACUUUAAAUAUGCUCAAAAAUCAAACUGGAGAGCUUACAGUAUCCCAUCGUGGCCAUCCCUUUUCGUUUUGGAACUGAGAUUGGACCAAUUGUUAUGAAAGGCUGCAUGUUUUAGUCUUCCCUGGUCUUUCCCUCUUGGGUGGCUUGGGUUUGUGCAAUACAGUACUUAGUGAAGGAAAAGCAGAGCCCAGCUCAGGACUUCUUAAGUGAGGGAACAGAAUCCAAUGAGAAGCCCUUAAAUGUGUGUCAAAAUGAAGAUCUACCAAAGAGUGAAGGCACCUACUAAAGGCUAUUACCUCAUAAGGCUCAAAGGGCGGGUGGGGGGUGCCCACAGUAUGCAAUCACCACCCCCCACAGGACAGCAGGCUUGGUCAAUGGCUGAACAUAUAAGCAUUCCCCAAUGGUACCACUCAGCCAGCCACCUUUGCAUCAGAAGCCAAAGUAUCCUUGAGCUACAUCUUGACAUCAGGAUACUCCCUGGAGCAUAAAGAAAUGCAGGAAUUUACAGCGUGGAGGUUCCUAAGCCUUAAAGAGUUAAUGCAGCAAAGGAAAUGCCUAAGUUAACCUUAGAAUUGUAUUCACUAGCUAGAUUUACUUGAUUUUAUUUUUACAGAAAUUUGACAAAAGAAGCAAUCUGUAAAUGCAAUGAAAACAGCUUCCUCCAUAUGUCUCACUACUGGCAUGAGCACGGAGCCGCGCCACCCCAUCGUACCUCCGUGUGUCAGAUUACGGGCUCAGAAUACCCCUCGGAAACACUCAGACUUCUAGCUGUUCCAAGAAAGCCGUAGGGCUUUCAAUAAUAAGCUGUAAAACGAGCUUAAGAGUCACUGAGGUUGCUGUGCAAAUGUAUAACCCUCACCGGAAAUGCUAUGGACUGAAUUGUGUCCCCGUAAGUCAUAUGUUGAAGCUGUAACCUCAAAAGUAACUAUAUUUGGAGAUAGGGCUUUUAGGAGGUAAUUAAGGUUAAAUAAGAUCCUAAGCAUGGGGUCCUAAUCCAACAGGACUGGAGGAUUCAUGAGAAGAGGAAGAGAAAGAGAUCUCUUCUUCUCUUCACAUGCAUGAACUGAGAAAAGACCAUGUGAGCACACAGCAAGAAGGCAGCCGCCUGCAAGCCAGGAAGAGAACCCUCCCUAGCCCCUGACCAUGUUGACACCCUGAUCUUGGACUUCCCGUCUCCAGAACUGUGAGAAAAUGAAUGUUUGCUGUUUAAGUCACCCAGUCUACGGUAUUUUGUUAUAGCAGCCUGAGCCGACUAAGACAGAAAGAAAAAUGUAUUUUAGUUAAUGCCAUAUGUGUAGGUGUACACAUAUGAAUUUUAAAAUUAACCAGGGUGAUGGAGUGAGCUGCUUCACUCAGGCAUCUGACAGUUACUCUUGCCAAGUUUUAUCUCAAUACACAGAGAUCUGAGACUGCAUCCAAAGCAUCUGAAAGAGGGUGUGCCUAUGGAAUAGGUUUUUAUAUAGCUUAUGCUGUAAAGCCUGUUCCUAGCAUCUAUUUUUUUAAAAGAAGUUCACUGUAAGCUUAUGAACUCAUCGUGAUAAACCUAGACUUGAACAUUUACAGCAAAUAAUAACUGGAAGGUUAAACUAUGACAUCAUGAGGUCCCAUCCAGCUCUGGAUUUUGAUGGACAUUUUUUGACCAGUACUUCCUUAGUUUGCCAGGAUGGAAGACCUAAAAAUGAACUGCAUUUUGCAGUGAAUUAUACCUAAUUAAAGUUUAAUGACUAGAUUACAUUCCUGUCUGAUAUGGUUUGAUUCUGUGUCCCCACCCAAAUCUCUCUUGAAUUGUAAUCCCCAUGUGUUGAGGGGGAAACCUGGUGGAAGGUGGUUUGAUCAUGGGGGUGGUUCCCCCUAUGCUCUUCUCAUGAGAAGAUGAGAUAGUGAGUUCUCAUGAGAUCUGAUGGCUUAUAAGUGGCAGUUUCCCCAGUGCUCUCUCUCCUGCAGCCCUGUAAGAUAUGAUUUGCUUCUCCUUUGCCUUCUGCCAUGAUUGUAAGUUUCCUGAGGCCUCCUCAGCCAUGUGGAAUUGUCAGUCAAUUAAACCUCCUUUCUUUAUAAAUUAGUCUCACGUAGUAUCUUUAUAGCAGCGUGAGAACAGACUAAUACACUAUCCUACAGUAACAUAGAAACAUAUAUGCUGAACUCUUCAACAUAACCUUAUGUGUUUCCUUUUAAUGUUAUCAUUAACCCUUCAGGCCACAAUACAACCAAGUGGAUCCAGUGAAAGACCAUCCUUAAUAGAAAUGUCUCAGAUACAGCUAAAGGCAAGAGCAAAUCUAGAAAACACCCAUUUUCUCAGACCACACUGAAAGAGGGCAUCAUAUUGGCAAUCUAUCUAUUCAACUGUUAGACCAAACAUUAGAGAAACCUAUGCCAUUGUUUUCUUCGUAAAAGGUUAAGAGUGGUAAUAUCAACAUCUAGCAUUCAGCCACAUCAAUCCUAAUAUGUCCUAUUCUAGUUAGGAGAGUGCAUAUAAGUCAAAUGACCUUCCUGAGUCCUGCCAUUUUAUAACAUGAAAUAAAAAAUCUAAGUAAUGUUAAGUUAAUAUGUUCUGAAUUCUUCUAGAAUCCAGAAGCCAAAAUGGAGUAAUAACACAUUCCUUACUAUUACCUCAUAGUUGUCUUAAAUGUCAUAAAUAAAUUUGUCUGUGUUUGAAUAUACAACUACAGUCAGCCCUCUGUAUCAAUGGGUUCCAUAUCCAUGAAUAUAAUCAACCACGGAUCAAAAACAUUUGGAUAAAAAAAGGAUGGUUGUGUCUGUACUGAACAUGUACAGACCUUUUCAUGUCAUUAUUCCCUCAAUAAUAUAGUGUGUCAACUGUUUACAUAGUAUUUAUAUUGUAUUAGGUAUUAUAAGUAAUCUAGAAAUGAUUUAAAGCAUAUGUAGGAUGUGCAUAAAUUAUAUGCAAAUACUACACCAUUUUAUAGCAGGGACUUGAGUAUCUGUGAAUUUUGGUAUCAGGAGUCCCAGUACCAAUCCCCUGCAGAUACUAAGGGAUGACUGAAUAUAGCUUAAAAAUGGGCAUAUGCAUGUUCAAACAGAAGCUCUGAUAAUGGCAAGUAUGGAAUAAAUAGAUUUCAGUUCAACAUUUAUUAAUUA
rnacentral:lncRNA from 1 species